rnacentral:rRNA from 1 species
AGUGAACGCUGGCGGCAGGCCUAACACAUGCAAGUCGAACGGCAGCACAGCAGUAGCAAUACUGUGGGUGGCGAGUGGCGGACGGGUGAGGAAUACAUCGGAAUCUGCCUUAUCGUGGGGGAUAACGUAGGGAAACUUACGCUAAUACCGCAUACGACCUACGGGUGAAAGCGGAGGACCUUCGGGCUUCGCGCGAUAAGAUGAGCCGAUGUCGGAUUAGCUAGUUGGCGGGGUAAAGGCCCACCAAGGCGACGAUCCGUAGCUGGUCUGAGAGGAUGAUCAGCCACACUGGAACUGAGACACGGUCCAGACUCCUACGGGAGGCAGCAGUGGGGAAUAUUGGACAAUGGGCGCAAGCCUGAUCCAGCCAUGCCGCGUGGGUGAAGAAGGCCUUCGGGUUGUAAAGCCCUUUUGUCCGGAAAGAAAAGCACUGGGUUAAUACCCUGGUGUUCUGACGGUACCGGAAGAAUAAGCACCGGCUAACUUCGUGCCAGCAGCCGCCGUAAAAC